rnacentral:lncRNA from 15 species
CAGAAACAAACCAGCAGUGGACACUCAACCUGCCAGUCAGGAGGAGACCCACCAUCCCAUCAUUUAGUGACUAACAUUUAGUGAAGAAUUUCAUUCAGUAAAAAUCCACAUAUAACCCUUAAAAUCCUUGUUUUUGAUUUCACUGUAUGAUGUUCAUUAGCAGGUAUUUGUAGGCUUUUAUCAGAUAAACUCCAUAUCAGUAAUGUAUGGCUCUUUUUCUGCUGUUGACAUCAUAUCAUAACAAAAUGUUCAAUUCUCAUUACAGUGUCUAUUACUGGUUUGAAGGUAAAACCAAGUUCUUUGGGAAUCUGUUCUGUGCAGCAGCAGAGAGAGAAAAGCAGACAGGAGAGAAGAUACUGGAGUUGUUAUCAUCAGUGUGCAGAUAUGAAACAUUCCCUUUUAAUGACAUGGAUGAAUAUGAUGAUGAUGAUGAGAGGGAAUAUCAGUGUGAUUUCCUGCUGGAUCUUUACUCCCACCUGAAGGACUAUGAGACUAAAACAGGCUUGAGUGUCCUUCCAUCAUCACAGUCAGUUCUCCAGUCAGCUCCUGCAGUCUGGUUCAUAAACCUCUCAGAGAGAAAGACCUCCAUCCUCCUGGAAGUGCUGAAACUCCAAUCAGAGAAGAAACAAGUGAAGCUGACAGGCUGCUCACAUGAAGAGAGUGAAGUGAGGAGUUUCCUACAGUGUCUGCCUUAUAUCUCACAGCUCAGUUUUGUUCCUCAGUCGUCAGAUCGUUAUGAAGAAACCAAGUUCUUUGGGAAUCUGUUCUGUGCAACAGCAGAGAGAGAACAGCAGACAGGAGAGAAGAUACUGGAGCUGUUAUCAUCAGUGUGCAGAUAUAAAACAUUCCCUCUUAAAAGAGAAAUGGUGUGAUUUCCUCAUGGACCUUUACUCUUAUGGUUGUGAAACAGGGUUGAGUGUCCUUCCAUCAUUACAGUCAGUUCUCCAGUCAGCUCCUGCAGUCUGGUCCAUAAACCUCUCAGAGAGAAAGACCUCCAUCCUCCUGGAAGUGCUGAAACUCCAAUCAGAGAAGAAACAAGUGAAGCUGACAGACUGCUCACAUGAAGAGAGUGAAGUGAGGAGUUUCCUACAGUGUCUGCCUUAUAUCUCACAGCUCAGGUAAGUCUGAUAAUAUUGAAAGGAAGUUUGUCAAAACAUUAUUUGACUAUAAUUUAAAAUUGA